rnacentral:sRNA from 2 species
GGCUCGAUCAGAUUAGGUCGCGGAAACGAUUUAUUAGUAAGGGAAUAGCUUCCCGCACAGGGUUUCGUCCUAGAAUGCAUCGCGCUGCCCAAGGCGACCGGCAAGGUUGCCGAAAUAUGAUUGUAGGGAAUGGCCGGUCGAAGGAAGACCAAAAACGCCAAGGCGCAGAGGGUAGUCAAGCCACAGAGGGGCCACAGCCGAACGACUCUCUGGGUUGAAAAUUCCGUUUUGACUCGAGCAAGGGGGAGCAUCAUGUCCCAAUUAGCCGGUGAAGCGAACUUCGAUAUCGAUACCAGCCAGCAGCCGGUUUUGUUAUAGAAGACGGGCGUAAUCGCCAACGAGGCGAAGACCAAGGCCAGGCCCGCAACGCAGACGGGCACGAUUCCACUCAUCAUCAGCCUCAUGGCAGCAGGAUCGCUGGCCACACUUCCGGCUGCAUCCCAUUGCAACUCCCCGCCAGUGACAUAAUAAAACCCAAACUGUGACGCUGCGGCACCGAGAGAGAUGGUCCUAACAAACAAAAAGGACAACCGGUUAGCUCGUUAUCGCAAGAUCUCUGGCAACGAGAAGGGGGUGGGGGGAAAUGAAAGGGGAUGCUCCAUACGCAAGAAAACCACCUAUGCAGAGGCCAAGGAUCGACGUGAUAUUGCGACUCUGGCCAUGCAGCAGCAGGCGCUGGGCUACGAUGAGGAAACAAUCCUGGAGAAAGAAGGUCGGGAAGUAGACGACGAAAUGCAGCAGCGGAAUGGAGUGGGCAUGCAGGAACAGAUGGAGCAGUUUUGAAGCGAGGAGAGCAACGGUGAGCACGGAGAAGAAGAAGGGCUGGAAAACACGAAACGAAGGGAGGCCCAUGGCCGCGACGAGGACGAGGAGAGGUCUGCGGGUGGCUGCACGCCCAUCCCGUGGAGUGGAAACGGAGGAGCGCAACCACUAACUAACUAUAUCCAAAAGUAAAAAGGGAGAGGAAGAUGAGGAAUGAAACGAACAGAAGCGACAGGUGUAGAGAGAGAGAGCGGAAGCGAAAAGAGAGAACGAAAAAUAAUAAUAGGAACUGGCGGAGAGAGGAGAAAAAGAGAGAAAAAGAGAAAAAGAGAAAAAGAGAGAGAGAGAGAGAAUGAGAGAGACUACGAGUCGACCCUCAUCCUUUUGAGGAAAGAUAUGCGCCAGUGUCUGUGCUGGUGAGUCGCCGACUCGUGUCUGCGGGACAGUGCUAGACAGUGCUAGACAGGGCUAGUCCGCCGGGCUGGAGUCGGGCGGAUUCUGUUUCUUUUCUUCUUCCUCUGCUGUCUUUUUUUUUUUUUGUUUGUUGUGUCUCUCCCAAAGAACGAAGAAGGCUCUUGUUUGGUUUUGUUUCUGGGACCUGCGUCGGGAAGAAGAAAAAAAAAAAACCACAACGAGGG